UACGUAGGGGGCUAGCGUUGCCCGGAUUUAUUGGGCGUAAAGAGCGUGUAGGCGGCCAGGUAGGUCUGCUGUGAAAACUCGAGGCUUAACCUCGAGACGUCGGCGGAAACCAUCUGGCUAGAGUCCGGAAGAGGAGAGUGGAAUUCCUGGUGUAGCGGUGAAAUGCGCAGAUAUCAGGAAGAACACCCGUGGCGAAGGCGGCUCUCUGGGACGGUACUGACGCUGAGACGCGAAAGCGUGGGGAGCGAACAGG
rnacentral:rRNA from 1 species